rnacentral:rRNA from 1 species
AGUGAACGCUGGCGGUAGGCCUAACACAUGCAAGUCGAACGGCAGCACAGUAAGAGCUUGCUCUUACGGGUGGCGAGUGGCGGACGGGUGAGGAAUACAUCGGAAUCUACUUUUUCGUGGGGGAUAACGUAGGGAAACUUACGCUAAUACCGCAUACGACCUACGGGUGAAAGCAGGGGAUCUUCGGACCUUGCGCGAGUGAAUGAGCCGAUGUCGGAUUAGCUAGUUGGCGGGGUAAAGGCCCACCAAGGCGACGAUCCGUAGCUGGUCUGAGAGGAUGAUCAGCCACACUGGAACUGAGACACGGUCCAGACUCCUACGGGAGGCAGCAGUGGGGAAUAUUGGACAAUGGGCGCAAGCCUGCUCCAGCCAUACCGCGUGGGUGAAGAAGGCCUUCGGGUUGUAAAGCCCUUUUGUUGGGAAAGAAAAGCAGCAGGUUAAUACCCCGCUGUUCUGACGGUACCCAAAGAAUAAGCACCGGCUAACUUCGUG